ACUGGCUCCACACAGUCAAAACUCACCAUCCUCUUCUCCCUUGAGCCACUGAAAAUAACAGAAUUUCCUUCCUCCACUCCCAUUCCCUUUCAGUGUUGCCCUAUAAGCCAGUGUUCCUACUGCAGCCAAAUGGAUCAUCAUUUUCUCUACUUUCCUAUUUGAGACAUUUCCCUUUGGCUUCCACUGUAAGUAUACGUGAACUGAGAGCUCUUCACUGUGGUCUGUGAGGCCCUGUAUGAUGCAGCCUUCCUCACUCUCUUCAAUUUCAUCUUCCACCACUCCACCAGACUCCAACCAUGCCAGUCACUCUGAUGCAUCUCAAACAUCAAAUGCUUCUCCAUUCAUUCCUCAUUCAUGAGUCCUCUGGUUCCUCGCUGUCUGAACUACUGGCCUUGUUCUCUCAUUUGAAAUAUCACCUCCUCAGAGUGGCCUUCACUAACUACCUCAUCACCUUCCACCUCAUAAUCCUAUUUUUUACAGUCUUUCUUUAUUUGUGCCUCUGAAUACUAUCUAUUGCUACUAGAAUACAAACUCCUGGGCAGCAAGGAUCUUGUAUCUCUGGUAUGGACAUGUACCAAAAGACAUCUGGUAAACAUUUGUCACAUGAAUGAAUGAAUGAAUGAAUGAAUGAAUGAAUCAGUGUCACAGUCACUUCAACGCCUUUCUAAAACAGUUCCUGGCUGAUAUGACAUCACUAACUCUCUUCUAAUGGACAUGAUGAAGAAACAGCGAAAUACGUACUGAGUCCUGAAUACAUGCCACACCCUCAAUAACUACAGAGAUGAACAAGAGGAGCCAUUUAACUUUGGUGCUUUCUUCUCUUUAAAAAUGGAGGUA